rfam:Sorghum bicolor cultivar BTx623 chromosome 9, whole genome shotgun sequence.
GGAUGCGAUCAUACCAGCACUAAAGCACCGGAUCCCAUCAGAACUCCGAAGUUAAGCGUGCUUGGGCGAGAGUAGUACUAGGAUUGGUGACCUCCUGGGAAGUCCUCGUGUUGCGUUCC